CUUCUAUGGACAGAAGAGGGCAGAAAGAGGGAGGGAGUUGGAGAGGACGGUGAACAAUAAUGACCCCGUUUCCUGAGUGCUCAUCCUGUGCCACGCAUGGAGCCGCGGCUUGACAAGCAUCUUUACUGCAACCCUAUUCCGCCAGUGAGCCUGAGACCCAGGGAGCUUAGAAACCCGGCCAGAAUCUGGCAGAGCGGGGGCCCUAACCCGCCGUCUGAGCCCACGGUGGCACCCUUAAUCACCAAGCUCCACAGUGUGGGGGACGAGAGAGUGGAACUACCGGAGAAGACACGGGGAUGCGGCUCGGAGAGAGAGGAUGGACUGAAGCGAUUUGAAAGGCGUUGUGGAAAGCAUACACGGAUAUUUUUUUCUUUCAUUUAAUCCUCAAACAAGCCUAUGAGUUCCUGGUGGUGUCUCUCCAGCGGGGGUGAACAGUGGCUCCACUUCUCAGCUCCUUUCAGCGCUGCCAUCACCCUCCCCCUAUGCCCCUGCAGAGGGACUAGAGCCUGCCAUCAGCCAUGCCCCUUGGGAGGUGGAGGACCAGCCGCACAUGCUUCCUCAUCCACUGGGCAUGUGCUCUGAUGCAUCCGGGCGAUCUCCUUGGGGUGUGAGCACCCAUCAAAUCUUACCCCCGUCCUCAGUAGUCUGAGGGCUUCAAGGGGGACUACACACAAGUGAUGCAGCUUCCCCCAGGAGCCCAGCACCCAUCUCAUGAGAUCCCCCUCCAAGGUCCUAAGCUCUGAAUGACUACCUUUCAGGUAGCAAAAAUGGCUUCAACAACUCCACUCCUCACAUCCACAAAACACACUGCCUCUGAAGAAGGGAGAGCAUGCCUUGUCCCAAGUUUCUGAAUAAAAGCCCCAAACUUCCCCUUGCUGGCACUGAUUUUGGCUAUUUGCUCAACACUGAACCGUUCACUGUGGCCAAAGCCCGGGCCCAUUGAUCAGCUUCGGCUGGAUCACACGCUCCCUCUGAAGGCAGCAGGACUGUAGAGCCGCGGGGCCCACAAAUGGACACCAGGGCUUCCUGGAAAGUGACAGACAUGCUGAUGAGGCCAAAAAUUGUCUCCUGCACUUCAUCUCAGAUUGUCCAGGGCAGCCCCAAUUGCAUAUUUCUGUUGUUGUUUUUCUAGAACUAUUACCAAAUGCGUGAGGAUGAGUUUUUAGCUACAACACCAAAGGGACACUUCAUGAAAGAAAUAAUUGGUAAGCUGAACUUCCUUACACUUAAAACUUCUGCUCUGUGAAAGACACUGGGAAGAGAGUGAGAAGAGAAGCCAUAGACUGGGAGAAAAUAUUUGCAAAGGCCACAUCUGAAAAGGAUUGUUAUCCAACAUUUACAAAGAACUCUUAAAACACAACAAUAAGAAAACAAACAACUCAAUUAAAAAAAUGGACUGAAAACCUUAACAGACACUCCACCAAAGAAGAUAUACAGAUGGCAAAUAAGCAUCUGCAAAGAUGCUCCACACCAUAUGUCACCAGGGAAAUGCAAAUUAAAACAAUAAUGAGAUACCACUACACACCUAUUAGAAUGGCCAACCUCCAGAGCACUAACACCACCAAGUGCUGGUGAGGAUGCAGAGCAGCAGGAACUCACGUUCACUGCUGGUGGGAAUGCAAAAUGGGCUGGCAACUUUGGAAGAUAAUUUGGCAGUUCUUAGAAAACUAAACGUACUCUUAUCAUACAAUCCAGCAAUUAUGCUUCCUGGUAUUUACUCAAAGGAGUUGAAAACUUAUGUCCACGCAAAAAACUGCACACAGGUGUUUAUAGCAGCGUUUCUCGUAAUUGCCAAAACUUAGAAGUGACCAAGGCAUUCUUCAGUAGAUGAAUGGUUAAACUGUGUUGCAUCCAGACAAUGGAAUAUUAUUUAGCCCUAAAAAGAAACGAGCUAACAAGCCACAAAAAGACAUGGAGGAACUCUGAACGCAUGUUACUAAAUGAAGAAGCCAAUCUGAAAAGGCUUCAGACUCUAUGAUCCCAACUAUAUGACAUUCUAAAAAGGGCAAAACUAUGGGAAAACGUAAAAAGAUCAGUGGUUGUUAGGCAUGAGAGGGGAGGGAGGCAUGAAUAGGUAGAACACAGAGGAUUUUUAGAGCCGGAAAAUACUCUGUGUGAUGUUAGAAUGAUGGAUAUAUGUCAUUAUACAUUUGUCCAAAUCCAUAGAAUGUAUAACGCCAAGAGUGAACCCUAAGGUGAGCUAUGGACUUGGGGUGAUUAUGCGUCGAUGUAGGUUCAUCAAUUGUGACAGAUUACCACUCUAGUGGGAGAUGUUGAUGAUGAGGGCGACCAUGCAUAUGCUGGGACGAGGGGUCUGUGGGAAAUCUCUAUCUUCUCCUCAAAUUUGUUGGGAACCUAAAAUUGCUCUGAAAAAAAUAGUCUUUAACAUAAAUAGUCCGUAACAUAAAUAAAAUAAAAAAUAUAAAUAUCCAAA
ensembl:lncRNA